UGGGGAAUAUUGCACAAUGGGCGCAAGCCUGAUGCAGCGACGCCGUGUGAGGGAUGACGGCCUUCGGGUUGUAAGCCUCUUUCAGUACCGACGAAGCGCAAGUGACGGUAGGUACAGAAGAAGCACCGGCCAACUACGUGCCAGCAGCCGCGGUAAUACGUAGGGUGCGAGCGUUGUCCGGAAUUACUGGGCGUAAAGAGCUCGUAGGUGGUUUGUCGCGUUGUUCGUGAAAACUCACAGCUUAACUGUGGGCGUGCGGGCGAUACGGGCAGACUGGAGUACUGCAGGGGAGACUGGAAUUCCUGGUGUAGCGGUGGAAUGCGCAGAUAUCAGGAGGAACACCGGUGGCGAAGGCGGGUCGCUGGGACGGUACUGACGCUGAGACGCGAAAGCGUGGGGAGCAAACAGGAUUAGAUACCCUGGUAGUCCACGCUGUAAACGAUGGGCACUAGGUGUGGGGGGUGUCGACUCCCCCCGUGCCGGCGCUAACGCAUUAAGUGCCCCGCCUGGGGAGUACGGCCGCAAGGCUA
rnacentral:rRNA from 1 species